AUUGAACGCUGGCGGCAUGCCUUACACAUGCAAGUCGAACGGUAACAGGUCUUCGGAUGCUGACGAGUGGCGAACGGGUGAGUAAUACAUCGGAACGUGCCCGAUCGUGGGGGAUAACGCAGCGAAAGCUGUGCUAAUACCGCAUACGAUCUACGGAUGAAAGCGGGGGAUCGCAAGACCUCGCGCGGCCGGAGCGGCCGAUGGCAGAUUAGGUAGUUGGUGGGGUAAAGGCUCACCAAGCCUGCGAUCUGUAGCUGGUCUGAGAGGACGACCAGCCACACUGGGACUGAGACACGGCCCAGACUCCUACGGGAGGCAGCAGUGGGGAAUUUUGGACAAUGGGCGAAAGCCUGAUCCAGCCAUGCCGCGUGCAGGAUGAAGGCCUUCGGGUUGUAAACUGCUUAUGUACGGAACGAAAAGUCUCCUUCUAAUAAAGGGGGAUCAUGACGGUACCGUAAGAAUAAGCACCGGCUAACUCUGUGCCAGCCGCCGCGGUAA
rnacentral:rRNA from 1 species